rnacentral:lncRNA from 10 species
GAUUACAGGCGUGAGCCACCACGCCUGGCCAAUUCCUAUGUUUUUUUUGAGACAUGGUCUCGCUGUGUCACCUGGACUGGAGUACGGUGGUGUGAUCAUGGCUCACUGCAACCUCCACCUCUCAGGCUCAAGUGAUCCUCCCACCUCAGCCUCCUGAGUAGCUGGGACCACAGGUACACACCACCAUGCCCGACUACUUUUUGUAUUUUUUGUAGACG